rnacentral:rRNA from 1 species
CCUACGGGAGGCAGCAGUCGGGAAUAUUUGGCAAUGGAGGAAACUCUGACCCAGCAAUACCGCGUGAAGGAUGAAGGUUUUCGGAUUGUAAACUUCUGUUAUAAAGGAAGAAAAAAACGACGGUACUUUAUAAGUAAGCCCCGGCAAACUAUGUGCCAGCAGCCGCGGUGAUACGUAGGGGGCAAGCGUUGUCCGGAAUGACUGGGUGUAAAGGGGGUGUAGGUGGUUUAUUAAGUUAGAAGUGAAAGCCCGGAGCUCAACUUCGGAACUGUCUUUAAAACUGGUUGGCUUGAGUGUAGGAGAGGUUAGUGGAACUCCUGGUGUAGCGGUGGAAUGCGUAGAUAUUAGGAAGAACAUCAGAGGCGAAGGCGACUAACUGGAACGUUACUGACGCUGAAACACGAAAGCGUGGGGAGCAAACAGGAUUAGAUACCCUAGUAGUC